UUUGAUUUCUGCACCCACUCCUCCUUUCUAAAAAUUUUUAAUCUGCCUCUGGUAACUUUACGCUGUAAAUUUCUAUUCUCAUUUUAAUUAAAUUUAAAUAAAUACUAACAGCACUAUCAUGCAAUUUCAAUGACUAUCAUUUAAGGUAUUGAUUCAGUUUUCUGUCAUUCCUAAAAAUAAGUUGUACUGUAUCGUUGAUUUUUUGCAUAUAAAACAGUUUCUGCUCAUCAAACAUCCACGAGAAAGUGUUCUGUUUCGCAGUUAUUGUACGGUUGAUUUAAAAGGGAAAGCUCUCUGGGCCAUGUCACAAGAAGGAAAAAAGUAAAAUAUUUUUCAUACCUACCUACCCACUGUUAACAAUAUGGUUCAGGAAAGGGCAUACAUUAAGUCUUAAUUUUGGCAUGCCGCAUGGGGUCAAAAAUUACUAUUGAGUGAUGUGGAGAUAUACCUGUCUUGUAAUUAUAGGUAAAGAUAUGAACACUUUAAAAAAAAUAUACAAUGAAAUCUUUGAACUGAAAGCAAAAUUAUCAUUGCAGGUUUUUGGGUUUUCACCACAAGAGCAAAUUAUACAACUUUAUUCUUGAAAAUGUUAGAGACUGAGACUUGGAGUCAAAGUCAACAGACAUGCUUGCAUGGACAUGAAGGAUGUAAAGAACUAGAGUAUUAUAACUGAAAGCAUUUUGUCUGGAUUUGUGUAUGGAAACAGAAGGAUUUAGUAUUGGUAUCCUGAAUUUUUGUCAACUUCUAGCCAAGAUCCUGUACUUAAGCUGAAUGUGGAUGACAGAUGUACACACAGUACUAGUAUAGAGGGUAUUAUCUCGGUACCUUAAAACUCCAAACGACAGAGAGAAGAAGAAAACUGCAUAUUAUCGAUGUAUCUUCACAGCAACAUGACCCAAAGCACUACCAUUAAAGGAUUUGAUUUGACAUUAAGGAAGUAAAAAAAUGAAGGCAUUAGUCAUAA